rnacentral:rRNA from 1 species
AUUGAACGCUGGCGGCAGGCCUAACACAUGCAAGUCGAGCGGAUGAAGGGAGCUUGCUCCUGGAUUCAGCGGCGGACGGGUGAGUAAUGCCUAGGAAUCUGCCUGGUAGUGGGGGAUAACGUCCGGAAACGGGCGCUAAUACCGCAUACGUCCUGAGGGAGAAAGUAGGGGAUCUUCGGACCUCACGCUAUCAGAUGAGCCUAGGUCGGAUUAGCUAGUUGGUGGGGUAAAGGCCUACCAAGGCGACGAUCCGUAACUGGUCUGAGAGGAUGAUCAGUCACACUGGAACUGAGACACGGUCCAGACUCCUACGGGAGGCAGCAGUGGGGAAUAUUGGACAAUGGGCGAAAGCCUGAUCCAGCCAUGCCGCGUGUGUGAAGAAGGUCUUCGGAUUGUAAAGCACUUUAAGUUGGGAGGAAGGGCAGUAAGUCAAUACCUUGCUGUUUUGACGUUACCAACAGAAUAAGCACCGGCUAACUUCGUG